GAUGAACGCUGGCGGCGUGCUUAACACAUGCAAGUCGAACGAUGAAGCCCAGCUUGCUGGGGGGAUUAGUGGCGAACGGGUGAGUAACACGUGAGCAACCUGCCCCUGACUCGGGGAUAAGCGCUGAAAACGGCGCCUAAUACGGGAUAUUUCCCGGCACCGCAGUGUGUGCGGGUGGAAAGAUUUUUCGGUUGGGGAUGGUCUCGCGGCCUAGCUGCUUGUUGGUGUGGUAAUGGCUCACCAAGGCGUCGCCGGGUAGCCGGCCUGGGAGGGUGACCAGCCACACUGGGACUGAGACACGGCCCAGACUCCUACGGGAGGCAGCAGUGGGGAAUAUUGCACAAUGGGCGGAAGCCUGAUGCAGAAACGUCGCGUGAGGGAUGACGGUCUUCGGGUUGUAAACGUCUUUUAGCAGGGAAGAAGCGAAAGUGACGGUACCUGCAGAAAAAGCACCGGCUAACUACGUG
rnacentral:rRNA from 1 species